AGAUAAACACGUGAACAAAGGUCUCUGCA
rnacentral:piRNA from 1 species